rnacentral:lncRNA from 10 species
CAGCUAUUUCAAACCAUAAAGAUGAGGGCUGUCCCCUAGGGAUGGUAGAACUAAGAGCCAGAAAAGACUAAGUUCUCGAUAAUCAUUUGGAACUGCAAUAGUGGUCCUGGACUACCUAUCUCUAGACUUCUUUUACAUAGGGAGAAAUAUACUUCUCUGUGAAGCCACAACCUUUUAGGAUUUUCUGUCACUUGCAGGUGAAUAUAAAUCUGUUGGAUACAAUAUUGUGUGCAUGGUAGGUGGGCCGUCAGUGGUGAGCCGGGGCUGCCAUUCAGAGCCGUGCCUCCAGGGUGAUCGGAAGCCUCAGCACCAGCAUCCCCAGCAGCCUGUAAGAAAUGCUCCACCUACUCAGAAGUCCUCGGGCAGCAUUUAAGGACACGAAUCACCUGACUUCACUGCGGGGAAAUCCUCUCACGGCAUGACUUCCUGUCACAGUAGAAUAGAACCCACGCUCCGACCCAUGACCUACAGCUCUCAGCAUGCUCACUCUAAGAGCUCUGCCAGCUUACAGCCCUCACGUCCUCAUGGUGCCAGCAGCCUCCAAACCUGGUCCUGCGACACAGGAUCUCUGUUGGUUCCUCAUCCUGGGAUGCUUUUCCCAGACCCUCCAUGUCUAGCUCCUUCCUCCCAUUAUCUGACAGCUCUGUGGAAUGCAACCCCACCCACCCAUCAUCACUAUCUCCCAUUCUGCCUUAGUUUCUUCCUUCGUUCUUCCUUUUCUUUUUGACAAGGUCUUGCUCUGUUGCCCAGGCUGGAGUUCAAUAGUGCAAUCAUGGCUCACUGCAGCCUCAACCUCCUUGAUCCUUGAUCCUCCCAUCUCAGCCUCCCAGGUAGCUGGGACCACAGGUGUAAGCCACCAAACCUGGCUAAUUUUUGUUGUUGUUGUUUGCGUUUUUGAGAAAGGGUCUCACUCUGUUGCUCCCUGGGUUCAAGUGAUUCUCCCAUCUGAGCCUCCCGAGUAUCUGGGACUAUAGGCACGUGCCACUACGCCCGGCUAAUUUUUGUUUUUGUUUUUGCUUUUGUUUUUGUUUGAGACUGAGUCUCACUCUGUUGCCCAGGCUGGAGUGUAGUGGUGCAAUCUCCACUCACCGCAACCUCCACCUCCUGGGUUCAAGCGAUUCUCCUGCCUCAGUCUCCCAAGUAGCUGGGAUUACAGGCGCAUGCCACUAUGCCCGGCUAAUUUUUGUAUUUUUAGUAGAGAUGGGGUUUUGCCAUGUUGGCCAGGCUGGUCUUGAACUCCUGACCUCAGGUGAUCCACCCACCUCAGCCUCCCAAAGUGCUAGGAUUACAGGCAUGAGCCACUGCACCCAGCCAGACUUGCUAAUUUUUGUAUUUUUUUUGUAGAGACGGAGUUUCACUAUGUUGCCCAGGCUGGUCUUGAACUUCUGGGCCAAGUGAUCUGCCAAAGUGCUGGGAUUACAUGUGUGAACCACCAUGACUGGCCUGCCUUAGUUUUCUUAGUAGUAUUUAUCCCUGCCUAAAAUUCUCUUCGAUGACUAUUGUCUUACACAUGCAUUUGUUUACUGAUUUCUCUCCUUCCCUAGAACGUACAAGUUCCAUGGAAGCAGAGACUUAGUUGGCUUGUUCACCACUCUAUCUCCAAUGCCUAGAUGGUGGCUGGCACUCAUGAGGAGCUCAAUAAAUAUAUGUUGAAUGAAUGGAUG